ACGAACGCUGGCGGCGUGCCUAAUACAUGCAAGUAGAACGCUGAAGAGAGGAGCUUGCUCUUCUUGGAUGAGUUGCGAACGGGUGAGUAACGCGUAGGUAACCUGCCUUGUAGCGGGGGAUAACUAUUGGAAACGAUAGCUAAUACCGCAUAACAAUGGAUGACACAUGUCAUUUAUUUGAAAGGGGCAAUUGCUCCACUACAAGAUGGACCUGCGUUGUAUUAGCUAGUAGGUGAGGUAACGGCUCACCUAGGCGACGAUACAUAGCCGACCUGAGAGGGUGAUCGGCCACACUGGGACUGAGACACGGCCCAGACUCCUACGGGAGGCAGCAGUAGGGAAUCUUCGGCAAUGGGGGCAACCCUGACCGAGCAACGCCGCGUGAGUGAAGAAGGUUUUCGGAUCGUAAAGCUCUGUUGUAAGUCAAGAACGAGUGUGAGAGUGGAAAGUUCACACUGUGACGGUAGCUUACCAGAAAGGGACGGCUAACUACGUGCCAGCAGCCGCGGUAAUACGUAGGUCCCGAGCGUUGUCCGGAUUUAUUGGGCGUAAAGCGAGCGCAGGCGGUUUGAUAAGUCUGAAGUUAAAGGCUGUGGCUCAACCAUAGUUCGCUUUGGAAACUGUCAAACUUGAGUGCAGAAGGGGAGAGUGGAAUUCCAUGUGUAGCGGUGAAAUGCGUAGAUAUAUGGAGGAACACCGGUGGCGAAAGCGGCUCUCUGGUCUGUAACUGACGCUGAGGCUCGAAAGCGUGGGGAGCGAACAGGAUUAGAUACCCUGGUAGUCCACGCCGUAAACGAUGAGAGCUAGGUGUUGGAUCCUUUCCGGGAUUCAGUGCCGCAGCUAACGCAUUAAGCACUCCGCCUGGGGAGUACGACCGCAAGGUUGAAACUCAAAGGAAUUGACGGGGGCCCGCACAAGCGGUGGAGCAUGUGGUUUAAUUCGAAGCAACGCGAAGAACCUUACCAGGUCUUGACAUCCCGAUGCUAUUUCUAGAGAUAGAAAGUUACUUCGGUACAUCGGUGACAGGUGGUGCAUGGUUGUCGUCAGCUCGUGUCGUGAGAUGUUGGGUUAAGUCCCGCAACGAGCGCAACCCCUAUUGUUAGUUGCCAUCAUUCAGUUGGGCACUCUAGCGAGACUGCCGGUAAUAAACCGGAGGAAGGUGGGGAUGACGUCAAAUCAUCAUGCCCCUUAUGACCUGGGCUACACACGUGCUACAAUGGUUGGUACAACGAGUUGCGAGUCGGUGACGGCAAGCUAAUCUCUUAAAGCCAAUCUCAGUUCGGAUUGUAGGCUGCAACUCGCCUACAUGAAGUCGGAAUCGCUAGUAAUCGCGGAUCAGCACGCCGCGGUGAAUACGUUCCCGGGCCUUGUACACACCGCCCGUCACACCACGAGAGUUUGUAACACCCGAAGUCGGUGAGGUAACCUUUUGGAGCCAGCCGCCUAAGGUGGGAUAGAUGAUUGGGGUG
rnacentral:rRNA from 1 species